UGUGCAUAGACUUGGAGAGACUGUCCAGGACUCCACUCUUUCACCUUAAGGCUAUUUCGCCAAGAGGGGCAAUGUUGACACCAUCAGUUAAUUACCAGGAAAGAACUUUGAAUUAGAACUUCCAAGAAACCUGAGUUCAUGUGUGAAAGUGGAAAAAUUUCUCACCUAGAGCACAGGGACGUCUUGAGAAGUUACUGGCCUGUCCCUGGGGAAUAUUCAGGAUGGAAAGAGAUCCAUGUUACAGGAUGGUAGUAUGGAGAAAUAACUCUCAGCAUGAAUUAAGAAGUCUGUCAAGUAUUCAUGUGACUGUCACCCAGAUGAUAAUCAAGAUUCACCUGUGAUUUAUCUGCUUUCACUCCUAAAUCCAGUGUUAAUGUAAGCAGUAUCACUGUGGCCAGGGGUGCAAGUGAUUCCUGCCAUGAAAAGGUGCCAGUGUGAAGUCAAACGCAAUAGAACAAGAUCUAAAAAAAAAUCACUGAGGAUUUAAUGCAAGAUAAAUAAUUUAAUCAGCUAUCUACUAUUUCCAGCAAGAUCGCUCCACAGACUCUCCUGUGCAGACAGGUUCCUGCAGGACGGAGGAAGGAGGCAGCACCCGGCGGGACGGCGCACAGGCAGCAUCAUAGGCUUCAGCCUGCUCAUCCCUUUCUAUGCUUGCUCUUCCUGCCCUUUCUUGCUUUACGUCCCCAUCACGUGUAUUAUGACCCCCCUGAAAUUUUGACGUUUGUACUCCUCCCAUCCAAUGGAGCCACUAGGAACAGCCUGGUUUGUCUGUGGGGCUGGUUUUACACACAGAUGGUUCACACCCUAUAGACACAGUCCACUUUUCAAAGUAAAAUCUGGCACUGUUUAGUUGUGAGCUUCAGUCGCACAUUCCCAGCCUGCGCAGUGCUACGGUGGAGUUUUAUAGUGUCUAGUGGAAAAACUCGUCGGAUCAAUCCUUUCUCCAUCAGUUUUCGUACAUUAAAAUGGUGAAGUUUUAAAAGUAAGUGUGGGUUUAUGAAAGAGCCAACAAACAUAAAGUCGUGGCUCUUGAGUGGAAACUGUAUCAAUUAAGACAAAUGUUUUAUAAUAUGUUUAUAAUAUGUUUCUAUUCUAAACACUUAAUUAUUUUAGUAUACUUGAAAAGUUAAAUCUUUCUCUUUUGAUAGUUUUUUCAUUCUUUAGUGAAUAUUGGUAACUGGGAGCAGAUCUGAGAGAAUGCAGUUAUUAUCUAAGAAAGUUGAUUCAAUAAUCAUCUUGAAACACGCAAAUAAAAUACAAGCUCAUGUCUUUGCAGACUCAGACAAGAAAGCUCACUUUAAAAAUGUAUCCUUUAUUAUUCAGCUACACUGAAUAUCUCACAUAUUAAUGAUACUACACUAGUUUUUUAAUAAUGAUAAUUAGCAAAAUGUAGUAGUAUAAAACAUUCUACAGCCUUGUAUAAAACAGAAUAUAUAAAUUGUAUUUUAAAUUGCCACUGUCAAUAUUUCAGUUUGAGUUUCAUUUUUUGUUUGUUUGUUUGUUUUGAGUUUUCCCGACAGGGUUUCACUGUCUCCUUCUGACUGUCCUGGAACUCAACAAAUAGAUCAGGCUUCCCUUAAUUGGGUUUCAACUUUUAUGUCUCAACAAUUUUUAAGGAAUUCUGUGUAAUACUUUGAAAAUAAAUUUUGUGAAAGCGUAAUUUUUGAAAACAUUCAGACUUCUCACAAAUGGUUUUAAAAAUAACACUAACAAUGCUCUUUUAAAAUUUUUAUUUUUUGUUUACAUGUGUCUGUCUGAGCACAUGUGCAAUGUAUGCAUAGAUGCUCAAGAAGUCCUGAUGGGCAGAAGGUGCCCUGAAGUGGUAUCUGCAGGCAACUGUGAGCUGUGACCCAAGCUCAGGUCCUCUGGAAGAGCAGCUCUUUCACCUGUGAGGUGACCUCUGCAGUCUUCUCAACAACAUCCUUCCUCAUUCAGUCUCACCAUCAACAUUUGAAUCAUUUAAAAUUCAGACUGUUAAACUAAACAGGGUAUCCCUAGAUGUCAAAGAAUGAUGAUGGCACAUGACUCGGAUGAAAGCUGAAGCAGACAUUGAUGUCAUCACUGUGGUUUCGCCUCUACAGGUCUUCAGAGGACUCUAUAGAAAACAAUGGAAACCUUUCCAGGCAGCAGAACUGCCCGUGGAUCAUUCACCAGAUGUUUGCAUAGAAGUGGGUGACAAGGAGUAGAUGACUUUAGUCACUUUGCCUCUCUUCAUUUCCUCUAGCACUCCGUAUGCAAAGCGAACAGCAGGGACAAGGCUGAUCAUCAGAGAGGUCACAGCAAGAAAAAGGUGGGGCUGAGGUUUUAGACCCAAGGUACAGUGGGGCAGUGUUUGCCAAGCAAAGUUCUCUAGUCUGGGUUCAAUGGGUGGGGGAGAGUACAUGUAUGAGGCAUCUUGAGAUCAGAUAACUCAUGGGAAUCCUGUUGCCAAGUGUUGAAAAGAAAUGCAGUUAUCCAAAUUCCUUUGAGUCCUUUUGUCUAACGGUACGGGAUUCCAUGCUGAUGUACUGCCAAACAAUGGAUUCUACAAGAGCAAAGUUCACAAAACAAUAGGUAUUCCAAAGUGGAUGUCAAUGAAGAAGGAAAUAAGACCACUUAGGAAAAAAUGUUUGCCUUCUCUUAAUAUUAAAGCUAAAUUUAACUCAGAAAAGAUAUAAAGUGUUUAGGCUUCUUGCUUAUUAUUAAUUCAGAACCCACAAACAUCUCCAACAAAGACUAUCAGUACAAUAUCUGGUAACAUUAUGAAUUUGUAAGUAAU